CUUCUCCACAAUGGUCACGCCCACAAAGCCCGUGGCGCCCGUGAUGAAUACAUUGCGUCCUGCAUAGAAAUCUGUGAUGGGCGAGCUGAAUUGAUUCUCUUGCAUAACAAUCUUAACAAACUUUCGCUACGCUUCAAAUGCGAACAACAAA